AAUCAACGCUGGCGGCGUGCCUCAGACAUGCAAGUCGAACGAUUAAAGCUCUCUUCGGAGAGUGUAUAAAGUGGCGCACGGGUGAGUAACACGUAAGUAAUCUACCUUCGAGUGGGAAGUAACGUCCGGAACGGACGCUAAUACCGCAUAAUGCAGCGGCAUCGCAAGAUGACAGUUGUUAGAGAUUUAUCGCUUGAAGAGGAGCUUGCGGCAGAUUAGCUAGUUGGUAAGGUAAUGGCUUACCAAGGCUACGAUCUGUAACCGGUCUAAGAGGACGGUCGGUCACACUGACACUGAAUAACGGGUCAGACUCCUACGGGAGGCAGCAGUCGGGAAUUUUGGG
rnacentral:rRNA from 1 species